CGUGAGAUGUUGGGUUAAGUCCCGCAACGAGCGCAACCCUUGCCAUUAGUUGCUACAUUCAGUUGGGCACUCUAAUGGGACUGCCGGUGACAAACCGGAGGAAGGUGGGGAUGACGUCAAGUCCUCAUGGCCCUUAUGGGUAGGGCUUCACACGUCAUACAAUGGCGCGUACAGAGGGUUGCCAACCCGCGAGGGGGAGCUAAUCCCAGAAAGCGCGUCGUAGUCCGGAUUGAAGUCUGCAACUCGACUUCA
rnacentral:rRNA from 1 species